AACGAACGCUGGCGGCAGGCCUAACACAUGCAAGUCGAACGCAUCGCAAGAUGCGUGGCGCACGGGUGAGUAACACGUGGGAAUGUAUCCUUUGGUUCGGAAUAACGUCUGGAAACGGACGCUAAUACCGGAUGAGCCCUAAGGGGGAAAGAUUUAUUGCCGAAGGAGCAGCCCGCGUGUGAUUAGGUAGUUGGAGGGGUAAAGGCCUACCAAUCCGACGAUCAGUAGCUGGUCUGAGAGGAUGAUCAGCCACACUGGGACUGAGACACGGCCCAGACACCUACGGGAGGCAGCAGUGGUGAAUAUUGGACAAUGGGCGCAAGCCUGAUCCAGCCAUGCCGCGUGAGUGAUGAAGGCCUUCGGGUUGUAAAGCUCUUUCGCACACGACGAUGAUGACGGUAGUGUGAGAAGAAGCCCCGGCUAACUUCGUGCCAGCAGCCGCAGUAACAC
rnacentral:rRNA from 1 species